rnacentral:lncRNA from 1 species
GUCAAACUCGCAGACUAAUGUUAAUAACAACGCAGGCCCUAUUUAUACUAGUAAAUUGUCCGAAUUAUGAUAAUAAAACACUAACCAAAGAAAUAUCGUACGUACGUUUCUGAUGGGAUACCUACCUACAAGGACACACGGGGCAAAUCUAGUAAGGCUACUAGGGCAAAAGAUAUAAUUACACUAGGUCAUGGGAAAAUGAAAGUUGAUACAGGAAACAUCCGUUGUUUAUCACUAACCUUAUUCCUGAACAAAGAAUGGUCCUAAAAAACUCAUUAACAUACUAAAUUAAGAUGAGCAGGAAUAUGAAUGAUGAAAUACUGAUGAUAAGUGCAAAAGUAAAUGAACUUCAUGAAAUAUAAAAUAAAGAGGAAGGGUGAAACGCAAAUUCAAUACAUUAUUUUCAAAACAUUCGGUUAAAGAUAAGAUUGGAAAUUUCGUAUAACGUAUGAUAGACAUUGAAAAAAGGGAAAUAUAAAAACAGACAUUAACUAGAAAUCUUUAGUAGGUUAAUAUUGUCUGAAGUGUAUCUCUUCA